GAGACUGGAUAGAUUUUAAUUGAUGCUAAAAGAAUGGAAAUUUAAAAAAAAACUUUUUUAAAAAUAAAAAUUGAAUUUUUUUUAAUUUGUGCAAAAACAAUUAUACUUAUUAAAGACAAGAAGACCCUAAGAAUUUAAGAUUUUACAAUUAAAAAGUUUUUUUUUUUUAAAAUCUUGAUUGGGGCGAUCAAAAAAUAUUAAUAACUUUUUAAAAUUUAAAUUGAUCUAUUAUUAAUAAACUAAUGAAUUAAAUACUCUAGGGAUAACAGCGUAAUAAUUUUUGAUAGAUCUUAUUGACAAAAUAGUUUGCGACCUCGAUGUUGGAUUAGGAUUCUUUUUUAAUGAAAAAGUUAAAAAAAGAAGUUUGCUCAACUUUUAAAUUCCUACAA
rnacentral:rRNA from 1 species